AUGAGGCACGGGUUGUGGAGUUCGGGACUCCCCUUCCCCCUAAUUCAGCUCCCAGCUGAGCAGAUUUGGAGUCUUCCAGGAUUGCAGAUAGGUGUGGAGACUGAACUGCAGACUUCAGAGGGACAAGAUAACUUGGCACCUGAGACUUGGCAGCUCUGGAGGACAAGUUUAAAGCACGAGAAGUCCCCAUUCUCGAGUUGGCUCCCCCCACUCUGGGACCACAGUGGGUCCCACCGUCCUGCCUCACUUUGGAAACCGGAGGCUACCAUCGUGGAGUCUGUCACCCUGACCAGGGUCUCCUCAGCUCCCCUCAGAGAGACAGGGAGGGAGAGAGGGAGAAGAGGGAGAGGAGAGCAGGGGAGGGGAGGGGAGGGAGGACAGGACUGAGUAAAACUGGGAAGGUGGCCCCAGGUGUUACUCUCUGAGCUUGGUGAAGACAGUGACUUCAGUGAACUUGAAGCCAGUAGUGAAACACAAGCAAAAGCAAACUGAUGGCUGAACGAAGCUAGCAGAGACCAUCUAUGAGUGUAUAGACAGAUGAGGUACAAAGUGAGCAUUUUUUCCUUCUCACCGUGAGGCUGGAGUGGCUACGGAAAAGGCUGAGGAAGACGGGAGGGCUGGCUCAGCUGUGAGCUGCGUUCUGGGCUAGAUCUGAGGCAUCAGGCAGCUGAGGAAGCAGCUGGGUAGACAGGGAGGGUCAGCCCGCCUGGGGCCACGGUCUGGGACUGGCUCCUCCUCCUCCUGAGUUCAUCUUCAGCCCAAGACCGGGAUGCCCUGAUCGAAAUGCAGUGAGCUAAGCAGGCGACUUAGCUGCACACAGUGAGCCCUUAGCAUGUGCCUGUUCGUCCUCUGCAACCCUUGGCUGACCCCACUCCUAAUCUCUGCGCCACCCACUGCAGAUCUGACCCUCGUGGGCUUUGGAUGCCACGACAGUUCCUCCAGGAGCAGAAAGAGUUCAAAAACUGCUGCCCGACGAGGGGCCGAGGCAGAUUGCUCAGAGGCCGGAGUCCUACCUCAGACCGGACCCUCAAUUCCAGCCCAAAUUAAAAUCCUCUCCACCAAACUCCCUGGGGGCCAUGAGCACAUCUCACUGCCUCCCUCCCACCCAGUGCAGUGGACCUUGUCCUUUCUCUUUCAGAUAAAUCAUUGGUCCUGCUGAUGCUCGGGGGUGCUCUGCUCAGUUCUUUGUGUAGGGCAUCAAAAACCUGGACAGGCCCCCAACCCGGUGGUGAUAGGAGAGGCUUUCUUUUAAUGAAAGCAUUCCAAGUAAUAAACCAGAACGGCAAAAUUGGGGCAUCACCAUUUCACAGCUCCCGGCGGGCUGAUGAGUCAGGGGACGUGGGGAGAACAGUCAUUCCCCAGGGUCCUGGCAGCACUGGGCCUGGGCACAGUGGAGCCCUGGACCCAGCUCUCACCUUGUGGGAACCCCACUGACCAGCAGCGCCCAGGCUGUCCGCAGCUUGGACCCGAGGCUUCACCAGACCCACAGUAAGCAAAGGAAGAAGAAAAAAAAUGGAGUGGAAGCUGCCUGUGGCGGGAGACUGAAAAGACGGACCAAAUAGAAGGGUACGCAGGGCCCAAGUAUGAUGUGUGGGAGUCAACACUGAGAUUUAAUUUGCCUGAGACUGCAAGGCAGCACCAGGAAGAGGGGACUGUGGGGCACAGCUGUGCUCACUAGGGGGCUGGGGAGGACCGGGAUUGUGGUGGGGACCAUUGCAAACUCCCGUCUCCUGACUCCAGAGGUGGUUACAAAACUGCGUGCCUUAUCUUCCUUCACUGAGUUUAAAACAGCCCCCGCCCUGUGUCUGACGGUUUCCCAGUGUGGCUUAAAUAACAGAGCUAGACACUGCCCAUGGUCUCAGGCUGGGUCCUUCACAGCCGAUCCCAGCUUCGUCUGGCUGCUGUCUCCUGUCCACGCAGCACCCACUGCUUUUCCGGCCGCUCUUCCCCACUUCAGAGACUUGGCAGAGACGAGACAUUUUAGCCUUGCACUUUGCAGUCAAAGAGUAGAGUCGUCUUACUGGCUUGUUUCCAGAGAGCACCACUGCCUCUCCCUCUUCUCUGGUCUCCUCUCUCCCAGAGGCGGCUGGUCUCGUUCCCUUGAGCUGGUCCUGUAGCAUUUACCUCUCCUCUUAGGCUGGGAUCCCCCACGCGGGCCCUGGAUGAGGACGUGGGCACUGCAGCUUACCUGGGAGGGAAGAAGUGGGGACCACAGCCUCAGCCGCUUGUUGGAAGCGACGAGUCACAGGUAGCAGGAACCGAGUGGGUGGCGCUCCUUGGGAGGACGCUGGUUUGGAACGCGCGGCACUGGGCCCCACAGACCGGACUGGCCUGGAGCUCCUCCUGUUGAACACCGCACAGUCUCGGGGCAACUCAGCCCGAGCUAGGAUAAGGCCCCUGCCUUACUCCCUGGAUCCAGGGAACCAGUCCUGUUGUGUACCCCGCUUGUCCCCGCCUUGGCCACCCCCGGACACCUGCUGUGUCUCACCAGCCGAGCUCCUCUCUCCACUCUGUCCCAGGAAGGUCAACUGAGCACAAUGGCUGCACCCAGUGGGCAAGCAUGGCCAGGAGGGGAGAGAGCAGACAGAGCUUUAGAGCUUCGGCGAGCAGGGAGGGCACUGGGGGUAAUUCCCAAAGCAGUGUCUCUCCAAGCAAACCGAACCGGGGCUUUUACGGCGGUAACUCAUUCAUAUAGGAAAGACCGGAGAGGUGGCCCAGCCCUGAGCGGGAUCGGUUCAGAAAAAUGGUGAUGUGUCACUGAGAUGUGGCCUGGGUCUGUCUGCCUCCCCGGCUCCUCCUUCGCUCUCUC
rnacentral:lncRNA from 1 species